UACGUAGGGUGCGAGCGUUGUCCGGAAUUAUUGGGCGUAAAGAGCUCGUAGGCGGUUUGUUGCGUCUAUCGUGAAAACCUGCAGCUUAACUGUGGGCUUGCGGUGGAUACGGGCAGACUUGAGUUCGGUAGGGGAGACUGGAAUUCCGGGUGUAGCGGUGGAAUGCGUAGAGAUCCGGAAGAACACCAGUGGCGAAGGCGGCCUGCUGGGCAGUGGGAUCGAAAGGUCCCUUUAACCGACACUGAGGCGCGACAGCGUGGGGAGCAAACAGG
rnacentral:rRNA from 1 species